rnacentral:rRNA from 1 species
CAAGACCUUGCGCUUUUGGAGCGGCCGAUGUCUGAUUAGCUAGUUGGUGAGGUAAAGGCUUACCAAGGCUUCGAUCAGUAGCUGGUCUGAGAGGACGACCAGCCACACUGGGACUGAGACACGGCCCAGACUCCUACGGGAGGCAGCAGUGGGGAAUUUUGGACAAUGGGGGCAACCCUGAUCCAGCCAUGCCGCGUGAGUGAAGAAGGCCUUCGGGUUGUAAAGCUCUUUCAGCCGGAACGAAACGGUCACGGUUAAUAACCGUGAUCACUGACGGUACCGGAAGAAGAAGCACCGGCUAACUACGUGCCAGCAGCCGCGGUAAUACGUAGGGUGCGAGCGUUAAUCGGAAUUACUGGGCGUAAAGCGUGCGCAGGCGGUUUUGUAAGUCAGAUGUGAAAUCCCCGGGCUUAACCUGGGAACUG